rnacentral:tRNA from 1 species
UGGUAAUUAGUUUAAUUAAAAUUAAUGAUUUCGACUCAUUAGAUUAUGACUUCACUCAUAAUUACCAA